AUGUCGCGCCCCGAGCACGAUCGUCGCUACCUAGCCGUGUCAAAAACCUUCUCCGGCUCCCUACCUCCAGCUUUCUCCUUCUCCAGCCCUCUCUUCGCCGAAGGUUCCUCCCAGAUCCAGACCAAGCCAAGCACAACAACCUCGUCUUCAACCUCCGCCGACGGCUGCGUGUUGGGUAAUCCAAACAACACAAGAACACGCGCAAAUCCAGCACAUCACCCAGCAACAGAUCCAAUGAGUGAAAUGACGAAGUCGGCAACGCACCGGAGAAAAUUAUCGCUGCUGACCACCAUCAUGGCCUCCUCCUCCUCCACCACCUCGUCCCCAAAUCCCGUAGCAACAACCUCAUCACCCUACUUCCUACCCGAGCUCACCCCCCAGAUCGCGAGUUGCCUGACCACCCUCCAGGAUUUCUUCGCCCUCCGUGCAACCUACCGGGAUCUCCUCCCUCCGUCGCCGUCCAGCCUCGCCUCCCAAGCCCCCCACCUCCUCCUUGUCCCCGGAUCUCGAGCCAUGUUCCACCUCCCCCUCCGUCGUCGCCUGCGCUUCCGCCUCCCCCUCCAUGAUUUUGAUCCUAACCCUGCCGCCUUCUACUCUUUCGGCUGUCGCAUCGCCAUGGCCAGCCCCAGCCACCAUGAGAUCAACUUCGUCCACCUCCUCACAGGCGAGCGAUUUCGCCUCCCCUAUCCACCGGCACCCUUCUGUCGCCUCCUCCUCUCUGGCGAUCUCGUCCUUGCCUUCGUUCCGACAGUCGGCCGUGCCGUCCAGUACUGUCGCCUUGGGGAUGUUGAGUGGCGCGUGGCGUCAUGCACUGAACCGUACGUGCUUGAGGAUUUGAUCUUUCUCAAGGGCAACCUACAUGCGCUGGUCAGAUCUGAAGAUGCCGGCGGCCUAUGUUAUCGUCUCGCCGUGGCCAAUCUGUCAGACAAGAAUACAGUGGAAUUAACGUUUCUUGGAGAUCAUUUGGAUACACAGGCUGCACAUGGGAGUUCAUAUUUCUGUCUCGCAGAGUGUCUCGAUGAGUUGUUGCUUAUUAGCGCUGUUGGGGACUGCCCAGAGGAGUUUCAUGUUUUCCGGUGGCAGUCAAGGGAGGGGAAGUGGACAAGGACUACUAGCCUUGGUGACUGCACAUUGUUCUUGUCAUACUUUUACUUUGUAGGCCGUGUUGUUCCGACGAAAGGAAUGACAUGCUUUUCAGGUUAUUUCUUUGCAAGUUGCCUUGGUCCAGAUCAUCCAGGAGUUCGAAGGGACUGCAUAUACUUCACAGAUGCCAAAAGAAAGUGGAUCGAGUAUUCCUUGGCCGAUGGAUCUUGCCACCUGUUUGGGUCUUUCCGAGCAUGUGUUGAUGCACUCAUAUGGAUCACAGUGCUAUGUGAAAGUUACUGUCCAAAGAGUUGCUCAGCAACUUGUAAAAAGUCGUUUGUCUAUGAUGCCAGUGACCCAGAAGCACAAGAUGAUGCUACGUACCACCAGGAGGGGAGCAUCUCCAACUCGGACGAGUGGUUAUCAGGGUAA
rnacentral:rRNA from 1 species